AACAGAGAGCCUGAUUAAAGGGCUGUUAUGAUGUGACAGAGUUCUAGGCUAUAUAGCCCUCUGUUU
rnacentral:tRNA from 1 species